AAGUCGUAACAAGGUUUCCGUAGGUGAACCUGCGGAAGGAUCAUUAAUACGUAUCCAAACGUUAAAACCCCCCCCGUGAACUAGGCCGUGCUCUGGAGGAACGAUGAAGACAGCAAUGCCUGUAAAUCAUAGCCGAAGGUUUUGAUUAGGCACCUCUGUUGCGUAAUCCUCGAGUCCAAUGUUGCGCUGGUAUCAGAGGCUGAUUUCCCCAAAAGGUGAAUGUUCUGAAAGCGUCCAAUUCACUAAUUAAGGAUAACGAUUUAACGGUCGCUUGGGCAACUGAAGGCCCUGAGGUCGAACACCGGCCGGCGGUCAGUCUCAGGGCCUUGUGCCCCCCUAAAACCCCACAGUCCUGAUAGCCCCCGGGUUUCUCGCGCGGGCACCAAAAAACGUACAACUGUUAACAAUGGAUAUCUUGGUUCUC
rnacentral:misc_RNA from 1 species